rnacentral:antisense_RNA from 1 species
CUUCACCGAGCCCAGCAGCAGCGGGUGGUCGCGGUCCGCACCGUAGGUCGCGAGCAGCGCCUGGGCCUC